CUCCGGGUCCGAGUUGUAAUUGCAGAGGAUGCUUCGGGUGCGGCCCCUGUCUAAGUCUUGGGCAGGGUGCCCGUGCCCGUGUGAAGCUCCUUCGAC
rnacentral:rRNA from 1 species